UUGAUUAGCGGCCAAGUUUGAGCACGUGGGCCUAGUAGUACCUCAAGGUGAGGUAGGCGGUUGCGCUCGUGCGGCCGGUGUGCAUAGGCAAGAUUGCCUAAUGCUGGACUUAGUGUGGGACGCCAUAGAGGCGUAUAGAGCGCUCGAGUGUGGGUACUCGUAGAGUGCGGUUUCGAUUCAGCCGGGAGAGUGAGUUGGCAGUAGCACUCAGCAUUGCUAAGUGUGAAACGGGCCAUGGAUCACUCGUAGGGCUGGGGGCUCGCACUAGGUGCUUAGGAGCCGGUAGUGAUACGUAUUGCUCGAUAGAGCGUCUAAUUUGAUUGAUAGUAUACUGAGAGUACGAUUGUGACCCAACCUGAAAAUUUGAUACGGUUUGGGAUCUUGGUUGCUCCUUGUUGUAGUGUGUGCGAAUUUCCAAGUGAGAAUUUCGCCCCAGUUAAGAUUAGGUCUACGCUUGCGAGCGAGAGGCGCUACGCAUAUGUUGAGAUGGGUUUAGGCUGUAGGCCUACGUAGUAUUGGUGGCCUUCGGCUCACCUGUGAAAAACCGAGGAAAGUGAUUUGGCGAGUAGCCUUAUCGGGGAGCUUGACUUGAGUUCACGAAUGACGUGCUCGUGUAAGUCGUCGCGAAAGUGGUAUGAUGUUGACCGUGGCAUAUGGUAUCAGGUAAUGAGGUGCUCUUGGCGAGGCCUUGAGCUAAUGGCCAGCCACGUAGAGUUCGAGAAUUGGAAUUGGGAUGCGCCGAGGUGGGCCAUCUCAAAUCAAAGUUAAAGGUUAGUGCGGAAUUAGAGCACUUACGAUGAAGUGGUGCACCGGUGAUAUUGCUUUUAGGCAAUGUCGAUGAUUGAUUUGGAGCGCAUUCCCUAAAGGGGAAGUAAAUGUAAAGAAGAGUUCUUGCUUGUCAAGUGGCAAGUGGUGUUGGAGCGCGCAGAGUCGUCGAGUCUCGACUUGCGCUACCACAUAGAGUGACGGAGACCGUAAUUUACUUUGUGAGGUGUGCCUUGCAAAGUUGGAUGCAUUUGGUAUCAUGAGCUCCGUAGUAGUCCUUUUGGAUAGUUCCGAUGAGUGAAAGGCUACUCCGAGAUGCAAAAGUGCAUUAGGACCCUCAACUAUUUGAUAAGUUGAGUUGGGGUAUGAAUUGGAAUUGAAGUGAGAUAGUUUCGAGGACGAAACUCUUUUAAGGAAGGGAGGAUGUAAGGUACCGAACUUCUAAAAUUAUGAAGUUACGGUAUAUAUUUGGUUUGAAAGCCAUUUGAAUGGUUCUGGUGAGGUUGCGAUGAAAUGUAAUAUACAGAAUUUUUAAAUAUAAAAAUAGAANGGUUGUGCAUGUAAGGAAGUGAAUUCUCGAAAUUCGAGAGUUGUGCUUCGUCCAGGAUCGACUAUUUGUCGAGUGAGUAUCCUUCGGAAAAGCUAAGGAUGUCCAAAACACAAAAAGUGCAUUGGAAACGUGUCCGCGAGAGCAAAUAUGCAAAAAUCUGGGCUUAGCAAAUUUUGCUCUCGGGGACCGGUCCCUGGAAGGGAGGACCGGUCCCCGUAGCUGAUGGUUGCGGGGGAGGUUGGUGCAACGGUCCCUGGCUGAGGGGACCGGUCCCCGUAUGCGACACCAGCGAAAAAAGGGCUAAGUCCUGGAAAUUCAGCUCUCGGGAACCAGUCUCUCAGGAAGGACCGGUCUCCCAAGGACCGAUCUCUCGGGCGGGGACCGGUUCCUGUACGCGAAGGGUCCCCAGGCCGCAGGGAGGGCUCUCGGGGACCGGUCUCCCCGACGAGGGACCGGUCCCUCUAGGUGCAGAAUGCCUAGUGAGGGCUGUGCACAAGGAUGAAAAUUGAGGGGCUUAUUUGCACUUAUGCAACAUGUGGGGCUAUGUGAGGGGUAUGAGAGCUCUUUUCUCUCAUUUCUCACCCACACACCCUCUCAUAUCUCUCUUUCUCUCUCUAGAAGACAAGAAGAGGAAGAAGAAAGGAAAGGAAAGAAAGAGAAGGAGAAGGAGGUCUUCCUCAUCUUCUUCAUCUUCUCCUUGGUUGGAGCUUCUUGGAGAGGUAAGCUUCUAAGCUCUCUCUCAUGGUGGAUUUCUAGAGAUAGGUUUGAUUGCUCUAGAAAUGGAGUUUUGUGUUAUCUGAGGGCGUAGUACCUGCCAGUACAGGUAUAGAGCCAGAUGGCACUAGCGAAGUGCUAGAAGUAAUCUAUGGCGAGAAGUGAGACUCGCGGUAGAGAUAGAAGUGGCGAAACGACUCUCAGAGCAAUAUGAGUAGUAAAUUGCGAGAGUUGAGCCAUGAUGCUUAUGAGAACACCCGAGUAGUCCAAAAAUUUCGGAUGUCAUUCCGAUAGAUCGAACAGUGAAAGUAGCAUCACUGUUUAGAGAACGGUCGAUUAGUGGCCAAGUUUGAGCACGUGGGCCUAGUAGUACCUCAAGGUGAGGUAGGCAGUUGCGCUCGUGCGGCCGGUGUGCAUAGGCAUGAUUGCCUAAUGCUGGACUUAGAGUGGGACGCUAUAGAGGCGUAUAGAGCGCUCGAGUGUGGGUACUCGUAGAGUGCGGUUUCGAUUCAGCCGGGAGAGUGAGUUGGUAGUAGCACUCAGCAUUGCUAAGUGUGAAGCGGGCCAUGGAUCACUCGUGGGGCUGGUGGCUCGCACUAGGUGCAUAGGAGCCGAUAGUGAUACGUAUUGCUCGAUAGAGCGUGUAAUGCGAUUGAUAGUAUACUGAGAGUACGAUUGUGACCCAACCCGAGAAUUUGAUACGGUUUGGGAUCUUGGUUGCUCCUGGUUGGAGUGUGUGCGAAUUCCCAAGUGAGAAUUUCGCCCCAGUUAUGAUUGGGUCUACGCUUGCGAGCGAGAGGCGCUACGCAUAUGUUGAGAUGGGUUUAGGCUGUAGGCCUACGUAGUAUUGGUGGCCUUUGGCUCACCUGUGAAAAACCGAGGAAAGUGAUUUGGCGAGUAGCCUUAUUGGGGAGUUUGACUUGAGUUCACGAACGAUGUGCUCGUGUGAGUCGUUGCGAAAGUGGUAUGAUGUUGACCGUGGCAUAUGGUAUUAGGUAAUGAGGUGCUCUUGGCGAGGCCUUGAGCUAAUGGCCAGCCACGUAGAAGUGGAAUUGGGAUGCGCCGAGGUGGGCCAUCUCACGUCAAAGUUAAGGGCUAGUGCAGAAUUAAAGCACUUAUGAUGAAGCGGUGCACCGGUGAUAUUGCUUUUAGGCAAUGUCGGUGAUUGAUUUGGAAUGCAUUCCCUG
rnacentral:lncRNA from 1 species